UUACGCUGUUAUCCCUAAGGUAAUUUAGCUUAUAAUCACUAUUAGUGGAUCAAGAACAUACACAUAAGUAUUUAUAUUCAAAAAAGAGUUACAAUUAUCUUUCCAUCACCCCAACAAAAUACUUACCAAUUAUAAUAAAAUUUUCCCACAAAAUUAAAUAAAUAAGUAUUAAACUCUAUAGGGUCUUCUCGUCCCAUAAAAUUAUUUAAGCUUUUUUACCUAAUAAUUAAAUUCAAUUCAUUACCAAUAAGAUAGUAUUUAUCUCGUCUAACCAUUCAUUCCAGCCUUCAAUUAAAAGACUAAUGAUUAUGCUACCUUUGCACGGUCAAAAUACCGCGGCCAUUAAAUAUUAUCAUUGGGCAGGUAUUACUUCUUAAAAAUAUCAAGAAGAGAUGUUUUUGUUAAACAGGCG
rnacentral:rRNA from 1 species